GUAGCGCAAUGGAUAGCAUGUUGGAUUUCUAAUUCAAAGGUCGUGGGUUCGAAUUCUACUUACA